UGUUAUAUUAGCUUUUCUUGA
rnacentral:piRNA from 1 species